rnacentral:rRNA from 1 species
GAUUAACGCUGGCGGCGUGCCUAACACAUGCAAGUCGAGCGGCAGCGAGUUUUACACUGAAUUCUGGAAGCUUCUAGUUGAAAGAGAAGAUUUAUUCAAGAAUUUUGUGUAAAAUGUCGGCGAGCGGCGGACGGCUGAGUAACGCGUGGGAACGUACCCCAAAGUGAGGGAUAACGCAUCGAAAGGUGUGCUAAUACCGCAUAUGGUCUUCGGAUUAAAGCCUUCGGGCGCUUUGGGAACGGCCUGCGUAAGAUUAGAUAGUUGGUGGGGUAAUGGCCUACCAAGUCGACGAUCUUUAACUGGUUUGAGAGGAUGAUCAGUCAGACUGGAACUGAGACACGGUCCAGACUCCUACGGGAGGCAGCAGUGAGGAAUCUUCCACAAUGGGCGAAAGCCUGAUGGAGCAACGCCGCGUGCAGGAUGAAGGCCUUCGGGUUGUAAACUGCCUUUAUAAGUGAGGAUUAUGACAGUAACUUAUGAAUAAGGAUCGGCUAACUACGUG